GACGAACGCUGGCGGCGUGCUUAACACAUGCAAGUCGAACGAAGUGGCGAACGGGUGAGUAACGCGUAAUCAACCUGCCCUUCAGAGGGCGACAACAGUUGGAAACGACUGCUAAUACCGCAUACUGAAGGAGGGGAUUGCGUCUGAUUAGCUAGUGGGAGGGGUAACGUCCCACCAAGGCGUUGAUCAGUAGCCGGACUGAGAGCAUGAGCGGCCACAUUGGGAAUGAGACACGGGCCAGACUCCUAAGGGUGGGAGCAGGGGGGAAUCUUCCGAAAUGGACGAAAGUCUGACGGAGCGACGCCGCGUGAGUGAUGACGGCCUUCGGGUUGUAAAGCUCUGUUAAUCGGGACGCGGUACCGGAAUAGAAAGCCACGGCUAACUACGUGCCAGCAGCCGCGGUAAUUC
rnacentral:rRNA from 1 species